GAGUGAUUCUUGCAACUCUUGUUGUGACUGAGAGGUCCUGUUUCAAUCACUGGCGUCAGACGGACGCACGACACCAACUCAAACCUUUUCACCUUCUCCCGAACAACGUCACAAUAUUGAUUGGAGAGAGAGAAAAAAAGAAAGUGGUGGCGAGGUGGCACCGAGCAACUUAUUGGAGUUUUAAUUUGAAAGUGCCUCACGAGGCUUUACGAAUAUCCCCUUUUGCCGUGUGUCACUUUUGAGGGUCCGACGGAUUUUUUUUCACAUUCAGCACGACUGGGAGAUAAAAAAAAAAAACUUUUCCUGUAUGAUAUAUGUGGUGGCUCGUAAACAGAGACCCGCCUAUGACCUUCACGUCUUCACAUUAUUGCUACAUUUACCGGAUCCGCCAUUAUUUGAUACAUUCACACGCGGUCUGCAACAAUUCCGACUCUUUUUUUUUUUUUUUUCUCCCGUUUUUCUUUGAAUGCGUUGCAAAUAUGAUGAUGUCACCGACGCCACUUUUUCCUGAAGUUAUGGCGGAGCACAACUUUUCUAACUUCUCUUGACCAUUGAGUGCACUUGGCUUUACUAAUGGAGCACCUCCAGGGAGCGUGGAAGACCCUGAGCAACGGCUUCGGGAUGAAGGACUCUGCAUUCGAGGGCCCGUGCGUCUCUCCGACCUUGGUCCAGGGCUUUUCCUGCCAGCGUCGCUCCUCCGAUGAUGGCAAGAUGCCCGAAUCCAAGACUAUCAGCACGAUCCGCGUCUACCUCCCGAACCAGCAGCGCACUGUGGUAAACGUACGACCAGGUAUGACUCUGUACAGUUGCCUGAUUAAAGCAUUAAAGGUGAGAGGUCUGCAGCCUCAGUGCUGUGCCGUCUUCAGGCUGCAUCCAGGACAGAGGAGUAAAAAAUCGCGGAUGGAUUGGAACACCGACUCCACCUCCCUGAUUGGAGAAGAGCUGUUGGUGGAGGUUUUAGAUCACGUUCCUUUGACCACGCAUAAUUUUGUUCGCAAGACGUAUCUGAAACUGGCGUUCUGCGAUAUUUGCCAGAAGUUUCUUUUGAAUGGUUUCCGUUGCCAAACGUGCGGCUACAAGUUCCACGAGCAUUGUAGCACCAAAGUGCCCACCAUGUGUGUGGACUGGAGCAAUAUCAGACAACUCCUGUUGUGUCCGACUCCCGGUGAGAGCGGCGCCCCGUCGCUGCCCCCGCUGACGUCCCGGCGAAUGAGAGAAUCCUUGACGCGGUUUCCGAGCUCGGCACACCGGUAUUCCACCCCUCAUGCCUUCAACUACACCGCGCCGUACACGCCCACGGGCGGCUGGCUCUCCCAGAGGCAGCGCUCCACUUCCACGCCCAACGUCCACAUGGUUAGCACCACCCUGCCCGUAGACUGCAGCAUGAUCGAGGAUGCAAUGCGUGAUCACGACUCGGGGGGGAGUUCCCCCAGCCAGAGCCCCACAGGCUGGUCCCAGUCCAAAGCGCCUGCACCCGCCCAUCGAGAGAGGGCCCCGUCCUUCAAUACUCAGGAGAAAAAUAAAAUCAGGCCUCGGGACAAGCGGGACUCGAGCUACUACUGGGAGAUCGAGGCCAGCGAGGUGUAUCUGAACUCCCGCAUCGGUUCAGGCUCAUUUGGGACUGUGUACAAAGGGAAAUGGCAUGGUGAUGUCGCAGUUAAAAUUUUAAAAGUGACUGACCCCACGCCAGAGCAGUUUCAGGCAUUCAGGAAUGAAGUGGCAGUCUUGAGGAAGACGCGACAUGUCAACAUCCUGUUGUUCAUGGGCUACAUGACAAAGGACAACCUGGCCAUUGUGACCCAGUGGUGUGAAGGCAGCAGCCUCUACAAACACCUUCACGUCCUGGAGACAAACUUAAAGAUCAUCCAGCUCAUCGACAUCGCCCGGCAGACGGCUCAGGGCAUGGACUAUCUGCAUGCAAAGAACAUCAUUCAUCGGGACAUGAAAUCCAACAACAUCUUCUUGCACGAAGGGCUGACGGUGAAAAUCGGGGACUUUGGUCUGGCAACGGUGAAGGCCAGAUGGAGCGGCUCGACUCAGGUGGAGCAGCCUUCCGGAUCCAUCCUCUGGAUGGCUCCCGAGGUUAUCCGGAUGCAGGACAACAACCCCUACAGCUUCCAGUCCGAUGUCUAUUCCUAUGGAAUUGUUCUCUUCGAACUCUUGACGGGAGAGCUCCCGUACUCCCUGAUAGCAACCAGAGAUCAGAUAAUCUUCAUGGUGGGAAGAGGCUAUUUGUCCCCAGACCUCAGUAAGCUCUACAAAAACUGCCCCAAAGCCAUGAAAAGGUUGGUGGCCGACUGCAUCAAGAAGUCCAAAGACGAGAGGCCCCUCUUCCCUCAGAUCUUGUCCUCCAUUGAGCUUCUCCAGCACGCCCUGCCUAAGAUUAACCGCAGUGCCUCAGAACCGUCCCUGCACAGAGCCUCUCACACUGAGGAUAUCAAUGCCUGUACUCUGACCUCCACCAGACUGCCGGUUUUCUAGAGGCUCAGACAGCACACCUCCUCCUCUCCUCACAUUUCCCCCUCCUCCUCUUUUGAAAUAUCCAAAAUAGUCCCAAAUACUCAGGACGCCCCAAAUUCUCUACAUACAGAUGCAAAUGUAGACUUAGACAUGUACACGCGAUCAUACGUAAACCCGCGCUAACCAAUAGAAUACGUGAGGAGAGGGGGGGAAGUGCAUCUGAGAGCUACUUUUGGAAGGAAGCGAGUGAUUGCAGUGGGAUGAACACAUGAAGAGGCGGGGCAAAAGAUACAUGGAGGCGGUGCCGUGCUUAUCACUGCACAUAUUAAGAAGUAUGCAGAGGCUCCACGGCGGCAAUGCAUUUGGUAAAAUUUGUAAAUACAUGCACGCACACCUACCUAAGACAACGAGGAAAUUGACACUGAAGGAAGCUUAAGAGGAAGACUUGGGUUCGGCAACGUGAAGCACACCCUUUUAUCUGGCCGUCCUGGGUUCUGAUGAAGAGGACCUUUUUUUUUUUUUUUUAAAAGCUUAUAUGCCUUAAGAGGAAACAAAGCCUGGACUAAGAUCCCGCACAGUUCACCUCUAUCACAAACAAAGCCGUCGGAUGUAGUCCAUUUAGUUGCACAGUAGUAGUUGAUUUUGCAUUGUCUUAAAUGAUAAUGGCGUAGAUAUGGGAAGUUGUUGUCAUUUUUUUUUUUUUUUUUUGUCCUUUCUUCUUUAAUUGUCUUUAUUUUUUGGGGUCAUUUUGGAGGACUUCUAGCCUGUUGGACAGCGAGCACGAGUGAUGACGGAGAAAAUUGAAUUUGCACAUUUUUAGCAAACGCAAAGGUUAUGUUUCAACAGUCUCCACAUUGGCUUCAGAGCUCUGAGUAAACGAUCCGUCGAUGCCCACACGUCCUCACCAUGGGUAUAGGCUGUCACCAGCUGGACAUUUGGCGGUUGUCUUAAAUGUUUAAAAUGAUUUGGAAACUAAUUUGUAUUUGUUGUCUUUGAUGUCUCUUUCAGGAGGUUAAACGUGUUAUUGUGUACUUGGGCAUCCAGUCCAGACACGCCACCGGGGGAUUCUACUGCUGGCUGAUGCUGCUGUGCACUGCACCGCCACUGGCAGGCUCAGUGGAACAAGAAUCACUCUGCAAGGGAGGGACACGUGGUGGAAAGGGAGGACGGUUAUAUUUUGUUUUAGCAUAAACAUGCAACGUGUAGGUCCUGCUGGACUGAACCACUUGACUUGGUUCAGUCCCAAGUGCAAAUUUAUAGUAAAUAUGGGAAUAUUUGCUGUGAUCUAAAUAUGGGGAUAAGUUUAAUGUUCAUGGCCCCGGCUAUCACUUCUCAAAAAGCCUCAUCACGGGGUAAAAUAGACCUGAUGUCACCAAAAGUGGAGCAAUGUAAUGAGAGCAUAGCCACCGCCUGACCACAAGCUGUCUAUUUUUACAAUGGUUUUGCUAUAUGUGUUUAUCUGUUCUAUUUCUGCAUUCUGACAAACCUCACAGGCUGGCAAAAAUGAAACCAACGGAGCCCAAACGUCCUCCACCCUGACCUGCUGUAGCUCCAUCUAGUGGGGGUUCCUCCAUAUGGGGGUCAGCCUUCAUUCAGUAUACUGUAUAAGACCUGCAUAAUAUUUAAGAAACACCUCAACGUGCUGCAUCCUCAACAUUCAAAUCCUUAGUUAAGUACAAAAGUAGAAUUGGCUAAAUGUACUUAACAUUUCAGAAGUAAAAGUACUCUUUCUGCAGAAGACUGUCCCCCUGAAAGAAGCAUUUCACUGUUUGAACAACUUUACAGACAGUUCUGUAGUUUAGUCCAGCGGUUCUCAAUCUAGGGCUCAGGCCCCUCUAAAUGAUCACAAGAUACAUCUGAGGGGUCGUCAGAGGA